CGCCUGUUUAUCAAAAACAUGGCCUUUUGAGUUCAUAAAAGGUCGGUCCUUCCCGGUGAUUUGUUUAAACGGAUGCGGUAAAGCGUGCUAAGGUAGCUAAGUUAUGGUCUUUUAAUUUUAGGCCCUGUGAAAGGAUUGACGAGCUUGAGUCUGUCUCUACCUAAAUUUUAUGAAAUUGAAUUUUAAGUGCAAAUGCUUAAGUGGACAUGAAAGACGAGAAGACCCCGUGAAGUUGUAGCGGGAGCAGGAAAGCUCCUUCUUUUGCUGGGGCAGCAAAAGAGCUAGGUUAGACUCUUUUUUAUUUUAGGUUGGUGAAAGACCCAUUAAGUGAGUAUCAGAAGAAGUUACUCCGGGGAUAACAGCGUAAUUUAUCUUGAUAGUUCUUAUAGAUGGGUAAGUUUGCGACCUCGAUGUUGGCUCUGGAUAUCCUGAGGCUGUAGUCGGUCUCGACGGUUGGUAUGUUCGCCCAUUAAAAUCCUACGUGAUCUGAGUUCAGACCGG
rnacentral:rRNA from 1 species